rnacentral:lncRNA from 1 species
GGUAGUGAAGCUGGAGCUGAAGAUUGAGUUGGUGGCAUUGGAGCCAUAGCAGGUGCUUGAGCCAAAAUGCAAGUGAAUUGGAGCAAGAAGAAAAACAAGAAAAGAAAGGGUGAGACUAAGUUGAAGUUCAUUUUUUUUUCCCUUUAUUUCGCUGAAUUCGAAUUUUGUUAGAUGUGGAGGGAGAAGGAGAAAGUGUGCCAGUUAUAUAGUGAGCUGUGGGUUGAUUUCUUGCUUCAAAAUAUUAAAGAAAAAAGAUGUGAUAAUAGGUUUGGGGAUAAAAGUUUGUGGGGUAUUGGGAUGAAAGAAAUAGUUAGGUGAAAAGGUGGUGCAAUUUAUGGUGAGUUGAGAAUAAUAACUUAUGUACUGUUAUAAUGCAGCUUCUAGCUUGCUUAUGAAGGGAAAAACAGCUGGAGAAGUGAACUAAUUCCUUUGUAGAUACCAUUAGCUAGAUCUGUAAAUAUAAUUGUAUGUAUAGCCACUUCAAUCGUGUUCGUCAUUUCUCCAAAAUAUCUUUUUUAUCUGGCAACAUGGUCAACUAGAAAUUUUUAUAUUCACGAUUCUUCAUUAACCCAUAGGUAAAAUGCUCUAGCUUUCCAUUCUCAUGUGAGUCUGGAACGUGAAUUGGCCAUUCAGUUUAUGUUGUGUGAUUUGAGGAGGGUAAAGUAGUUAGGUAAAAAUAUUUCAAGUUUUUCUUUUUUACUUUAUGCGUUUAGGGGCCUACUUACUCUACUAAUCCAUAUUCAUAUUGCGUGGAUGACAGAAAUGCUUUCUUCCAAGAGUAACUCCAUUUUCAGGGCUCGAACUUGAGAUCUCUAGUUAAAGCUAUAAGGAUAUCAUCCAUCCCACCAGACUCGUUGCUGGUAUAUUUCAAGUUGCAUAUAUGCAAUCACAAAAUAAGUAUAGCACAAUCCUAAAUGAUUACUCAUGAAUUUGUGGGACAAGAGGCAAAUUUAGUUGCAACUACACUGGUCACAAUCGAGAAAUUCUUGGUACAGCUGACGAUAAUGUAAUGUAAGGUGAUAAAUGAUAAUCCUUGUAUUUGUUGUGUUCUCUACUAUCUUUUUGCAGUGUCAAUGCAUGACAGGAUAUCACAACCAUUUUUAGCAGAUGAGCUAAAACUAUCAGGAGGAUUAAUAAUGAUUAGUGAUGCUGAGAAAUGUGUCAAUCAUUCUGGAUUUGUAAGGUAAUUAUGCCACACUUUUCUGCUUGUACUUCUUCUAGACAGGAAAAUCACAUUUUUUCCUCUUCUCCUCUGAGCAGUAAUUUCAAAUUCUAUUUUUAGUUUAUCGCAUCAAAUUCAUAAAACUAACUUUUGUAACGAAAAGUUUUUUCAAUUAUGCCUAUAUAAUCACUGGGAAAAAAAUGCAGUAUAAUGCUAAAUGAUCCUUUGUAGGUGACAAACGCGAGUUUUAGGACCACACAUGUAUACUUUCCGUGCAAUUCUUAGAUGAAAUUUGGCUGGAAAACUAUUUUUUACAUUUGACAGAACAAAAGUGGUGAAAUUUAUUGACAGGACAGCAAACUUUAUAUGUGUCACUUAGAUUGUUUCACCCCAAGUUCAAGAUCACAAGACUUGCAAACGACGUUUAUUUGCUUCUUUUUUCUUUUACAUGGGAAAAGAUAACAAAUUACUUUAAAUCUUUCAUUAGCAACGUGACUUGAAUCAAUCAAGAGAAAAAACUCCAUUUUCUUGAGUGGAGCUUUCCAAACGAUCAAACCCUCUUUAUUUCUAUGACCUUCAUUUGCCAGAAAAUGGUCACAUUUAUUCUUCUUCCGCAAGAUGUAUGUAAUAGUAGCCUUCAUGGUUUCCAGCAAAUUUUUAUGAUCUUCAAUAAUAGCCCUAACAAGUGAUACUAUCUGUCCUCUUUGAUAAGCUUGACAACAAGUAGGCAGUUUGUUUCCGCCUUUAAUUCUUUAUACCCAAUUCUUUUUGUUAGUUUUGACCCUUGUUUGAUGCUCCAUAGCUCUAUAGUGAGGCUUGAAGUUGGAUUCGUCUUACCUGAAACCCGAUAUCUACUUCCCUUUGUCUCAAAAAUUCCUUAAGUGCCGCAUGUGCCUUGUUUGAGUCUUGACAUUAGCAUUACAGGCAUUUUGAAAAUAAUGCAAUAUUUGUAUCAGGAAUUAUACUAAUUUUGGAAUGUGGUGGCAUGGUGCUAUGCACUCCUGAUUAAAGCCACUUCCUGUGGCUUUGCCUAGACAUCAUCAUCUCUCGUCAGGUUUAGCUAAAAAAUUAUUGGGAAAACAAAAUAAUAAAAGAAAAUUUAUGCGGAAGAAUUGAGCUGAUAUACCCAUAUCUUAUAGUAAUUCUGAAGUGGAUAUUCAAAUUCUUUUAAAAGAUAACAUAAUAUGCAAUUAAGAUCUUUGAGAAGGACAUAAAUUGCAGUUACAUAAAUUGCCUAUGUGUAAUGUGAGAGCACCCCCUGGACUUAAAACUAUAGUAAAACAUCUGAUGUUUUAGUAUGUUGCGUUUUCUGGUUUUCUUUUCUUUAUGCUUUCAGCUGUCUGUAAAUGAGGAGAACAAUUGGAUAGCUCACGAAAAUUAACAUCUUAUGAAGUUUCACUUGAGCAUACAUAACAAAAUAUAACAAGCAUGCUGGUAUUGCAUGCAACUGAUUAGCUCAUAUACACAGAGAAAACAGAGAAGAAGAAAAAGGAGCCAGGAUAGACCAUUCCCCGGAACAUGUGGGGAAGAAGAGAAGUGGCACCAGAUGGAACAACAUUAACGGAGGAAGAAUCCGAGGAAGGAUCAUCCUUCUGUGGCUUUGAUGGCUCUGGAGCAGGUGCUGGUGGUAAUGGUGGGACAAAGAAUUUCAAAGGAAGCAGUACUUUAUCCACUUGGUAAAUAGCUAAUUGAUUGUCAGUGUAAAUUGUACUGGUCAGACUUGCAUUCACAAUUCCGGUUGUUAUGUUCACUGCUGUCCCAUUUGUGGUUAUGUUGAUGGGGAAUUCACGAUUAGUGGUUCCUCCAGCUUGUGUUGGUACAGGGUUGCUAGCCGUUUGGAACUGCGACAGGGAGAAAUAUGAGGGGAGGAUAUGGAAUUUAACCAAGUCAGCUUUCCGCUGAUCGCUGAAAGAGUUGAGGGUGCCAGUUUUCAG